AAUUGACUCCAUUUUCCUCUUAAAUCGCAAUGUUGGGACCAUCAUUCGAUUUUUGGUUUCUUAACGGUAUUUAAGCAAUAAACCUUGCAUAUGCUACCUUUUUGUCAAUCUUGUUACUAUAACCUACUAACCGUGUUUGCCUCUCCCCAUAAUUAUCCAAAUCUUCAUGAAUCCAUAACCGCUUUUUUAGGUGAUUCAAACUUGAAAUACACUUUUCCAUGCCGCUUUAGCUAGCUUUUAUCACUGAAACGUGCCCGAAUGACGCCUACACUAUUUGCCUUAAACUACUCUUAAAAUCGGUCAAUACUAGCUAGCCGUUAAACAUAGGCACAUGGAGCUAAUCUUUGUUUAAUAUUGAUAAGCUAUAUUGGAUCAAGGUUUGCUUCAAACUUCCCUUCCGUUCGGAAAAGAGGAAGCCUUAAUCUUAUGGGCGGAUCCUGUUUACAAAAAAAUCCCCCUGUUCGGCAAUUAACAAUGCACUCCUAAUCGAAAAUGUCAAACAUCAUCACCUUGUAAAAUUUAUCAAAUGAAUUCAUUUAUCGAGCUUUUGAAAUGUAAAUAGUCCUCAAUUGCUAAGGGAAUGGUUUCCCCAUCGCUUCAAAGUCGGCAUGAAAUCGAAAACUAGCAGAUAGCCGGCAUCUUUCCUCCCCUCUAUUUUAUUGUUAUUAUUAUUUUCUUUUAUUUCAUUUACUUUUUCAUCUAUUACCUAAUGAUUGAUGACUUAUACAUAGAUAGCAAUUCUUUCUUCUUUACUUGUUUAUCAACUUUUGUGUAAUGGUCGCAGUCUAAUACCAGCACCGACGAUCUAGUCAACAUGUCAUUCCAUGAUCGGAACAAAACAGUUAGAUAUCUAGUGUUCGGCAUCGCUGAACAUGACUAGUUCAAAAGUGUAGACUUGGGUGGAUAUUCCUUGUAUCUCUUCCGUUUUAUAACCAUCAACUAAAAUCCGUGCUUUUUCAAUCAAAAGAAAAAAAAUAACUCCGUUUUGAUUGAACUACUUUCCUCAACUGUAAGCAACCUUGUUGUUUACAUUUUCGAGUAACAGUUAUAUACAAAACUACAUAACUAACUGUUUUGUUGUCUAAAUUGUGUUUAUUGAGUUUAAAAUCAUUUUACUAUAUCUAUCAAACUUAGUCAACAUAUGAAAGAUGUGUGUUAUCUUUCUUUCAUUACUUUGGGAUUUAAUCAAAAGGUGCUAGUUAUGAUUAGUUGGUAGUAAAUCCCAUCCGAACGUUUUAAACUUCAUUUAGAUACAUUUUAAAAGCCCAAAAAUGCUUGACAUACUUGCAUAAUGAAAAUCUCAUAAUUCAUCACAAACCCUUUUAUUUUUUCUCCAAAGAAUUUACUCCUAUUGUCUUUCUCACUUUUGAUGGCGUUUAUUGUUUUGCCAUGGGCUAUCACGAAUUUUAGCAGCACAAGAUUUUAUAGAACAUUAAGAAAACGACGCAGUUUGCCGAGGUCGUAUUGCAUUAUAUUAUAUUCCAUUUGUUUAACAUCUCUACAAUGUAUCAAUGAUACUUAGCAGUACAAAAAGUCUCAUUUCUGAAAAUGAUUCACCCAUAUCUCAAGCUAAUAUUCUCGCAAAAACAUUGAAGUACCCCCCAGUAAUAUAGAGGUUUCGGUGUUUGCUCAACGACAAUUGAUAGUGAAACGAUAGUUUAUCCUAACCCCGUCUGUUUACAAAGUGAUUAACGUGAGCUUAGGGCAAGUGAGCAACCAUGAUAUAUGCAUUGCUGCUUAAACUGAUAUAUUUAUGAUCGAAUAGUGUAAUGCUGAAUAGCCACUUUACACUAAAUGGAUUUCCGCGUAAAAAUCGAGCCUCUGUUAAUUAGUUUGUUUACGGAAACUGUUGUGUAAUCCAUAAAGGUAACACAUCUCAUCGGCAUGUAACCUUGUAUCCAGUUUACUUCUUUCGCCAUAGCCGCUCUCUUUCUUUAUCUUAUUCACCUUUUCAAGACACUCAUUGUUUUCACUUUUG